CCCAGACUCCUACGGGAGGCAGCAGUGAGGAAUAUUGGUCAAUGGGCUUACGCCUGAACCAGCCAAGUCGCGUGAGGGAAGACUGCCCUAUGGGUUGUAAACCUCUUUUGUCAGGGAGCAAUUGGCGCUACGUGUAGCGUUAUCGAGAGUACCUGAAGAAAAAGCAUCGGCUAACUCCGUGCCAGCAGCCGCGGUAAUACGGAGGAUGCGAGCGUUAUCCGGAUUUAUUGGGUUUAAAGGGUGCGUAGGCGGUUCGAUAAGUUAGAGGUGAAAUCCCGGGGCUCAACUCCGGCACUGCCUCUGAUACUGUCGGGCUAGAGUUUAGUUGCGGUAGGCGGAAUGUAUGGUGUAGCGGUGAAAUGCAUAGAGAUCAUACAGAACACCGAUUGCGAAGGCAGCUUACCAAACUACGACUGACGUUGAGGCACGAAAGCGUGGGGAGCAAACAGGAUUAGAUACCCCGGUAAA
rnacentral:rRNA from 1 species